AUAUUCAAACCAACAAGAUGUCAGGAAUGGAAUGAAGCAGGCUAUCAUCAUUUUUUAAAAAAUCUUUUUAUGUAACUGCUUGCUUUGAAGGGCUCCUAAAUCUUUUGCAAACAACUCCUCUGACAUCUUGUAGGACAAAAGACAGUGAGGAGUGUUUUAACGGUGGGGAUACCAAGGCACAGGAAGUCUGAGCUGUCCCCCAAAGACUGACAAAGUGCCCCAGCCUUCGGCAAGGGCUGGGAUCCUACAACAGCCCUUGGGAACAGCACAAAGAAGAACAUCAACAGCAAUGUCUUGGGGAAGACAGAAGUUUAAGAUCCUGAACAAUAGAAGUGUAAACUUACUGUCCUAAAGAGAUGCCACUCAGGUGGAGACUGAGAGAAGCCAACAGUUCCUGGAUACCAGUGAGCUUUGCCUGACAGAUCUCAAAGAGCAGAAAAGUAUCACAGCCUGUUAGCCUCCUAAAGUGCCGGGUGGGACAGAGCAAGCCAAAGGGAUGGUAAAUACUGAACAAGACACUCCUGGAUGAAUGUGCAGCUAAAUGGCAAUUACUGAGCCACACAUGGUAUCAAAGAAGCACUUCCUGUUCUUGGAGCAGAGGAGCCUACAGGCUGGUGGACAGUCAAUGACAUUGAGCCCUUGUCUAUCCCAGGAGGACCAGUGCAUCAGGAUAGACGCUGACUCCAGCUCUGGGUUUGCCUUUCCUGCCCAGAAACCUUGAGCUGACAGCACUACCCACGCACUUGUAGAAUGACCAAUGCCUAGGCUCCAAAUCUCAUGCCACAGAACAUGUGACCAGGGAACUUGUUCUGCAACUGUUUAUUAGUUGUAAAAUAUAUCACUCCUUUGGAAGAGCUUACUCCCAUACAGUUCUGGUUAGGCCAGACGAACCUGCCAAGUUUCCCAUUUUUUCAGUUGGGGAAACUGAGUCUCUGGCUCGGUGAGGGGCCUGUGGGUGCAGUUGGGGCCAUCACUCAGGGCUGAGGCGUCUCUGUCAGGAUUUUAUUGAGCAAAGCUGCCUGCCGCCAUAUGCAUUUACAUAAUGACCAGGGAUCAAUACCUGUCUCUGCUCUCCUUGUCCCUCAGUGACUGCCUGCGAACAAGAGGCCAGAUUCGCCAUGAAGCUUCAGCCCGCAGCAGAAGAGCAUUAUAUCCUUGCUGUAGCUAAAUUCUCCUCAUCAGGAACCACGAGCAGGAUUGAAAGGGGUGGUUAAAAAAAAGGUCACAGAGAAUUCACUGGGAUCUCAAUCUUGAAUGCUGGUGAGCUCAUGUGGCCCUGCUGCCAUAAGCAGAUGCCCAUCCAUCAAGAAGGCUUUGCUCAGUAGUCAACAGGAGCCCAGUGAGGAGCAGUCGAGCCCAGCUGGUUUAGAGGAUGGUGCUUGCCCUAACUUCCCUUCAAAAGCCAUGGCAACUCUUUAUUUCACCUAGGAGGACCAGAGAGAAGUUGGAUUGAACAGAUCAGGCAUUUCCCUGUGCAGCCUCUACCUGGGGAGCUUGGGACUCACUACGGACUCACUACUCACCUGUCAGAGAUGAGAAAACCAAGGCACACAGAGGUUGAAAACAGUGCUCAGGAGCUGCAAGGAAGAUGCAGGCUUUGUACUCAGGAUUUUGCAGACAACAACACGUCGGUGCUUCCAAGGUUGCUCUGGACUACGUGCGUGGGAGCGGGACUCGGCCAAGCCCAGCUGCCUUGGCGGGGAUGUCGGCAGAGGGGGUCGCCGCCCACUUUUGCAAGGACGUGCUCUUUACACCCCGUGGGCUGCAAGCACUGGGCUCCAAAUGGAUUAGCCGUUUCAAAAAAGCCAAACAAAAAGCAAGGCUCAUACCCGCUCUCUCUCAAAAAAAAAAAAAAA